AUCGUUAGCUAGAGCAGUUGGCUUUUAAUCAAUGGGUCGCAGGUUCGGGCCGAGCGAAGCGAGACGACAACGCGCCAGCGUUGCCCGAAGGGCGAGUCAAACCCGUAUUUCCCCAUUUUUACCCUUU
rnacentral:sRNA from 1 species